rnacentral:rRNA from 1 species
AGACCCGAAACCCGGUGAUCUAGCCAUGGGCAGGUUGAAGGUUGGGUAACACUAACUGGAGGACCGAACCGACUAAUGUUGAAAAAUUAGCGGAUGACCUGUGGCUGGGGGUGAAAGGCCAAUCAAACCGGGAGAUAGCUGGUUCUCCCCGAAAGCUAUUUAGGUAGCGCCUCGUGAAUUCAUCUCCGGGGGUAGAGCACUGUUUCGGCUAGGGGGCCAUCCCGGCUUACCAACCCGAUGCAAACUGCGAAUACCGGAGAAUGUUAUCACGGGAGACACACGGCGGGUGCUAACGUCCGUCGUGAAGAGGGAAACAACCCAGACCGCCAGCUAAGGUCCCAAAGUCAUGGUUAAGUGGGAAACGAUGUGGGAAGGCCCAGACAGCCAGGAUGUUGGCUUAGAAGCAGCCAUCAUUUAAAGAAAGCGUAAUAGCUCACUGGUCGAGUCGGCCUGCGCGGAAGAUGUAACGGGGCUAAACCAUGCACCGAAGCUGCGGCAGCGAACGUAUCACCCAAGACAACUUUACGGAGUUGACGAUUGACGGAGCGAAGCGACGUCAAAGCGUUCAUUAAAGUCGAGUUGGCUUAGGGAUACGUUCGUUGGGUAGGGGAGCGUUCUGUAAGCCUGUGAAGGUGUGUCGUGAGGCAUGCUGGAGGUAUCAGAAGUGCGAAUGCUGACAUAAGUAACGAUAAAGCGGGUGAAAAGCCCGCUCGCCGGAAGACCAAGGGUUCCUGUCCAACGUUAAUCGGGGCAGGGUGAGUCGACCCCUAAGGCGAGGCCGAAAGGCGUAGUCGAUGGGAAACGGGUUAAUAUUCCCGUACUUGGUGUUACUGCGAAGGGGGGACGGAGAAGGCUAUGUUGGCCGGGCGACGGUUGUCCCGGUUUAAGCGUGUAGGUGUGUGUUCCAGGUAAAUCCGGUUCACUUUAACACUGAGGCGUGAUGACGAGGCACUACGGUGCUGAAGCAACAAAUGCCCUGCUUCCAGGAAAAGCCUCUAAGCAUCAGGUAACAUCAAAUCGUACCCCAAACCGACACAGGUGGUCAGGUAGAGAAUACCAAGGCGCUUGAGAGAACUCGGGUGAAGGAACUAGGCAAAAUGGUGCCGUAACUUCGGGAGAAGGCACGCUGACACGUAGGUGAAGUGAUUUACUCACGGAGCUGAAGUCAGUCGAAGAUACCAGCUGGCUGCAACUGUUUAUUAAAAACACAGCACUGUGCAAACACGAAAGUGGACGUAUACGGUGUGACGCCUGCCCGGUGCCGGAAGGUUAAUUGAUGGGGUCAGCGCAAGCGAAGCUCCUGAUCGAAGCCCCGGUAAACGGCGGCCGUAACUAUAACGGUCCUAAGGUAGCGAAAUUCCUUGUCGGGUAAGUUCCGACCUGCACGAAUGGCGUAAUGAUGGCCAGGCUGUCUCCACCCGAGACUCAGUGAAAUUGAACUCGCUGUGAAGAUGCAGUGUACCCGCGGCAAGACGGAAAGACCCCGUGAACCUUUACUAUAGCUUGACACUGAACAUUGAGCCUUGAUGUGUAG